AUGUCUCCUGUCAGGAAGUCAGCUACAGUCCUCCGCUCUACCAGCUGAGCUAUCGAAGGGACGGGUAAGCUGUCCGUGCCCCUUGAGACUCAAUGUUCAAGAACCCGAGCGAGCACAGCUGCGGGCUAGAGACUGAAUAGAGCAUGCGUACUCCGGAACGGGGAGGGGAAGGGAGUAAAUGCCUGUGUAUUGUUUCACGCGUGCGCAGAAACACAACCUGGCUCCCCUUCGUGGGAUCCUGACAGACCCCGGAAAGGACCCCCAAUGCGUGUGUCCUAGAGCUAGUGGUACCAAGACUCAGCAACUCCGACACCACCUUCCUUUACUUUUCCUUUACCACCCUAUAUUGGGAGUGACUGCCCGAGUGUGGCCUUACCACUCUAAUCUGUAUGUCCCCUCAGUUUCUCCUUGUGUGGAGGGCCAGUGGCGCAAUGGAUAACGCGUCUGACUACGGAUCAGAAGAUUGUAGGUUCGACUCCUGCCUGGCUCGGCAUUUUUGUCACAAUGAUUUUUUUAAAAGCAAAGAUUAUUACUUCUUCAGGGUUCCUCAAGUCACAAAUGCCGAGAGUAUUUUACUACACUUCGAGUCCAGAAAUCUGUUGUGCGUCGCUUCCAGUGCCGCCCCGUCGAACUCUCUCGAGCACUAAGGAGAGGCAGCCGCGGCCGCGCGGCUAACUGCCCGCGAGAGCGCUUCCGACACGGGCGGGGGGAGGCUCUGGGGAAGGCUGGGGAGAUCAGCCGCUCAGGAAUUCCAGGUAGGAAGCUGGGUUAGGGAAAGUGAAGCCCGCAGUCCCAUUGAGGAAGCUGGUUGAAAUGCCAGGGCUGCUUCUGCAGCAGCUUCAUUCGUCGGGUCUUGUAAAAUAGUUGAAGACUUUAGUCACCAAAGUCACGAGAAAAACUGCCCACGCACACGCCCUGACAGUGCUGACGAAAGAAAGUCAAGAAAAUAAAGUGCAUUAUAGAUGACUCUGGACAAUGUUUCGGGAGUAGAGAUAUUUGGGUACCAGGACAGAUUACUCAGAAGGAAAAAACCUUCACGAGGUGGUGAUAUUGGUGGAAAGUAGGUCAGAGUUGGAAUCCCCUAGCUCCAUCCAUUGUCAUUUUUGGAAGUCCAGUCAUCAAUACCAAGGGCAACCUGAAGCAAAGGUAACUAGAAGAGUUUAUUCUGAAAAAUUAAGGGACAUAGUAGAACCAAUUUUGGGAGAGAGGGUGGAUUUAGUGUUCAAUAAAACCUCACUAUUACUCAGCAAGGAUAUUUCUGUGGAUUUCUCAAAAGCAGCCACCACCAAUGCCCAGUGAAUAUUUUUCUUGUAUUCAUUUCUGAAUCUGUAUUCUACUCAUCUUCUGUAAUUGCUACCUAUGGCAAUGUAGCAUGUGAUGUCUGGACAUAUUAUCUCAGAAAGAAAGCAGAAACAGUUGGCAGUCCACACUGUGUUUUAAGAAAAAAAAUAAAAUAGGGGCACGUGGGUGGCUCAGUAGGUUAAGCAUCUGACUUCAGCUCAGGUCAUGAUCUCAUGACCUCUGGGUUCAAGCCCCAUGUCAGGCUCUGUACUGACAGCGCAGAGCCUGGAGCCUGCUUCGGCUGUGUCUCCCAAUCUCUCUGCUCUUCCCGCACUCAUGCUCUGUCUCUCUCUCAAAAAUAAAUCUUAAAAAAUAAAAUAAAACAGUUGGUUUUCCCCAAAUGGAGGGUGAAGAGUAUGUGAAUCAAAUCAAUGGUCAUUUUGGUUUUGUUGUUGUUGUUGUUUACUCAUCUAAAGUAUCUCUUUUAUUUCAUCUGAUAAGAAUGUUGGGUAAUAUAUGGUCAGUUUUAGUCAUUUAAAUUAUGCCACUUUCCUAAGUAGUUCAAGGCACCCAAAUUCUCUAUAAGCAGAGCACAAGGAGAAAUGUAGCAAUAACCAUGGAUCAGAGUUGUUACUGAAUUUUAAAAUAUGCAUGACCCCUUUCCUCCAAGGAACUAAGGCUCCUCACUAAACUUUUGUUGCCAAAUAGGUAUUAAUCUUUUUAAUACCCAAGGAAACAGGUGAAAGUGUAAACUUUGUCAACACUAUUUCAUCAAACUAUUUGGGGAGAGCAGUUAGCUCACUUGAAGAUAGAGUAUGUAGGGGAAUGUAAUGAAGAUUCUUAUUAAUUUGUUCCACAACGUUUACUAAGCACUUUGUAAGCAUCAGGAACUAUACUAUAUACACAUAGUAUGUACUGUGUACUAGGAACACAAAGAGUAAACAAAUAAAUCUGGUCUGUACUAUCAAGGCACUUUCAGAAGAAUGGAGAGUCAUGACAGCUGUAUACUGACUGACUGAUGAGGGCCAUCAUGGCUCCAAGCACUGAGACCAUGGGAACAUAUUGAGAGACAUCUUGUUGUAGGAUGGGGAUGAAGAAAGACUGCCCAGAGGUGUAUUUGGGCUGGGUCUUGACAAAUAAGAGAUAGGCUAAGAAGCAAAAUAAAGGCAGAGAGGUCAGCUCUUUAAUAAGCAAAGGAGAGAAGACAAGACUCCUUCAGGGAAUUGUAAAAAUUUCAGUUUGGGAGCUGGGAGCAGUAGUCCUGUGAAGGGAUGGGGAGCAGAUCAGGUAGGACAAAGAUAUGAGCAAGGAAAGCACAGAGAGGAGUUCCAUAAAACUACUUUCAAAGAUCUCUGUCCAGCUUUGGUUGAGCCAAAUGUAUGGGACACAGCCUUUUUCUAGGUAGGCCCACUUCUCAGAAAUUGUCCUGAGAGAGUCAUGCUCCAAAGUUCACAGAGCCUGUUCUUCUGAGCUCAGGGACUCUAGGAGGCAGGGAAAUUAGCCCCCUUUCACUAUCCACCCCAGGAAGUACAUACCCAGAACCUUCUUAAUCCCACAUAGGAAUGGGCUUCCUAAGAAUCCAAACACUUCAGGUCUUUAUUCUUAGACUAUCAAGACCAGCCACCAUCAUCAGUUCAACAGCAAUGGUUCCCCAAGGUAUGGAAUAACAGCCUGCAUUGCAUUGCUGUGUGAUUGUACACCCAACUGGGCAAGGGACCACACACACAGUCUCUUCCAUCCUGUUGCUUCUGAUAAUUGCUUAGUAAAUCUACAAAUACAUGUUGACUCUUCUGAAACUAUUGUCUGAUGAUAAUUGAUUGUUGCUCAAUAAAUAUUUACAAGUAAUAAUUAUAAUUGGGCUUUGUGGUCAGGGAAAAAUAAAGGAAAAGAAAAUGGAGCAGAGAGAAAAAGUGAGGGUGCAGAAAGAAUGUGGAAGAAAUAAUCAUUAAUAUGAUUAAUCUCCAGUUUAGCACAUAUGUAUAUUAUCUCAUUUAAUAUUUACAAUGACCUAUGAUAUACAUUAAUAUUGUAUUGGCUUAACAGGUGAGGAGAGUGAGGCUCAGGAAGUUGAGUAACUUUCCUAAGGCCAAGGAAGUGGUUUUCUGAUUCAGACCAGGCUUCUUAUUUGUUAAAUCUAGCUUCUGGAAGAGAGGGAGAGGCCUCACAUCUUCCCUGUAGAAAUUUUACUACCAGUGUAUACUUGAAAAAGAGUGGCUCCUGCCUUGUUUCAAUAACUAAGGAAUAAAAUUUUAAUCUUGCUUUGGAGGCUUAAAAGAAGUCUAUGGACCUAACCACCGUUCAGCCACCCACACAAUUUUCUCGGGACAUUCAGGAUCACCAUUAUUACUUCCCCUUCUUGCUCCCUCUGCACUUCAAUUGUCCUGAUUUUUGUUUAUAAUCCUUUUAUAUCUAUUUUGAUCAUUAACUUCCAGGAGUGACUUUUCUGGGUGCUCUGACUUAGCAGGGAAGCCAGAGAUUAGGAUCUGGCAUCUAUUAUAUGGUAUCAUGACAAAUGCAUCCUUUCCCAUGGUUUGGGCUUGGGACUUACCAUUAGAUGUGGCAAAAAAUUUUUCAAUAAAAUUAUCCAUGAAUGAGUAGUAGGUGGCUUUAAAAGCGUUAGUUCAUAAAUGCACUUUGGCUAUCAGAUUGUCAAAAGCCCCACUAGAAAAUCCAUUUAAAAAUUAAACAUUAAACAUGAGUGUUUUUUAAAGUGGUCUGCUUUUGCUAUUCCUAACAUGUGUCUAUACUAUUUAUACUUAUAUGAUUUAUUAUAUGUAAUCUAGGAGGGAGAUGUUCUUAUUUAGCCUACAGAUAAAAGAUUGUUGAGUAAGCAGUAACAUAUUUUAGAAUAGGUUCAUGAGGCUCAAAAGGGUAAAUAAAAAUGAGGAAAAUGUACUCCAUAUCACAAUGUUUAUAAAUAUAAGCAUAGUUGGCACACAUGGGUAGCUCAAUUGGUUGAGUGUUGGACUCUUGAUUUCAGCUCAGGUCAUGAUCUCUGGGUCAUGGGAUUGAGCCUUACAUUGGGCUCCAUGCUGAGAGUGGAGCCUGCUUGGGAUUCUCUCUCUGUCCCUCUCUGCCUCUCCCC